AGUGGGAUUGCUGGGUCAAAUGGUGGUUCCAUUCCAAGUCUUCUGAGGAAUCUUCAUAUGGCUUUUCACAAUGGUUGCACCAAUUUGCAGUCCCACCAGCAAU
rnacentral:pre_miRNA from 1 species